rnacentral:rRNA from 1 species
UAUGUAGGGGGCAAGCGUUGUCCGGAUUUAUUGGGCGUAAAGAGCGUGUAGGCGGCUUGGUAGGUCCGCUGUGAAAACUCGAGGCUCAACCUCGAGAUGUCGGCGGAAACCACUUGGCUAGAGUCCGGAAGAGGAGAGUGGAAUUCCUGGUGUAGCGGUGAAAUGCGCAGAUAUCAGGAAGAACACCUAUGGCGAAGGCAGCUCUCUGGGACGGUACUGACGCUGAGACGCGAAAGCGUGGGGAGCGAACAGG